AGGGAGAAAGGGAGGUGAGUGCAUAGGUGAAGAUGGAAGCCAUAGAGAGAGAGAUAUGAAAGGGAUAAGUAAACAAGGGUAUUAUGGAUAAAAGGCCAGUACAGAAGAGGAGCUGAAUAAGUGUUAACAAGGGCUAAGAGUGUGAGAGAAUAAAUGAGCUGUACUGAAAGCAACCCAUCUAAUGUGAUAAAGGGUCUAGAAGUAGGUGAGAAUUAGUGAUUGUAUGAAAGCAACCCAUGUCAUAACAGCACCAGGUGAGGGGUGGAUAUAUUCCCCAACACACUAUUCUGGGUUACCAGUCCAGUGGUAUGACCACUAUGCUACCACCUGCAUCUACCUGGCUGUCUCCUGAUUUAGAGAUUCCAAAUUUGAGACUCACCGAGUACAGCCCUCAGCACUGCACAGGGUCAAAGCUCAGUGACCCACUCCUCUCAUGUUAAUCAUUAAACCAGUGAACCAAUAAAAAGAAGAUAAAAGUACUUCACAGGAACUAUUUAUAACUAGUCCGACGGAGCUCAAUGAAAGGUUGCUGGAUCUCUGUGCCACAAGUUGGAGCUGAAUACUUUUCUAUGAAAAGUAGGAAGUUUGGACUUAUUUCAAACACCACCACAGGGAGUGGAAUGCAAGAGAAAAGACAGAUCCCUUCAAUGAAGAUUCCAGCUGAUCCCUCCUCGAGGCAACUUCCUCCGAGUCAGCGCUGAAAGAACGAAGCCUUGUUGUUACUUAUUAAUGGUCCUUGGAAGGAAAUCUGCAUUCCUUACCCGGAUCUGGCCUACAUUAUAGGAAGUAAGCAGGAGAAUGGGGCUGCGAAACAAAUGUCACAGCAGACUCAAUGGGCUGAAUAGCCUAGUUCUGUUCCUAUAGCUUGUGUUAAAGUGUGGUUGACUCUUAACUCUCCUCUGAGCAAUUAGGAAUGGACAAUAAAUGCUGGUCUAGCCAGUGAUGCCCAUAUCCCAUGAUUUAAUGAUUAAAAAUGACCUGAUCCUGUUCCUUGUGUUCUUAUGUUUCACAUCUGGUAUGUGCUGUUGGACUGGUGGAUUGAAGCAGGGAAA